rnacentral:rRNA from 1 species
GUGGGGAAUUUUGGACAAUGGGGGCAACCCUGAUCCAGCAAUGCCGCGUGAGUGAAGAAGGCCUUCGGGUUGUAAAGCUCUUUUGUCAGGGAAGAAACGGUUUUGGCUAAUAUCCAGAACUAAUGACGGUACCUGAAGAAUAAGCACCGGCUAACUACGUGCCAGCAGCCGCGGUAAUACGUAGGGUGCAAGCGUUAAUCGGAAUUACUGGGCGUAAAGCGUGCGCAGGCGGUUAUGUAAGACAGAUGUGAAAUCCCCGGGCUCAACCUGGGAAUUGCAUUUGUGACUGCAUGGCUAGAGUGUGUCAGAGGGGGGUAGAAUUCCACGUGUAGCAGUGAAAUGCGUAGAUAUGUGGAGGAAUACCGAUGGCGAAGGCAGCCCCCUGGGAUAACACUGACGCUCAUGCACGAAAGCGUGGGGAGCAAACAGG